rnacentral:rRNA from 1 species
UAGGGAAUCUUCGGCAAUGGACGAAAGUCUGACCGAGCAACGCCGCGUGAGUGAAGAAGGUUUUCGGAUCGUAAAACUCUGUUGUUAGAGAAGAACAAGGACGUUAGUAACUGAACGUCCCCUGACGGUAUCUAACCAGAAAGCCACGGCUAACUACGUGCCAGCAGCCGCGGUAAUACGUAGGUGGCAAGCGUUGUCCGGAUUUAGUGGGCGUAAAGCGAGCGCAGGCGGUUUCUUAAGUCUGAUGUGAAAGCCCCCGGCUCAACCGGGGAGGGUCCUUGGAAACUGGGAGACUUGAGUGCAGAAGAGGAGAGUGGAAUUCCAUGUGUAGCGGUGAAAUGCGUCGAUAUAUGGAGGAACACCAGUGGCGAAGGCGGCUCUCUGGUCUGUAACUGACGCUGAGGCUCGAAAGCGUGGGGAGCAAACAGG